AUCCCUUUCGAUGUCAUUCUGAAACCCACUUCUCUCUUUUUUCAGGGCUCAUUUCCCAGGGAACCCGUGGCCCACCAGAAGCUGCUAAAAGCUAUGAGAAAAACCCUGAGUGAGCCUGCUUCUUGGACUCAGGAGGUGGCCCCCGGUGUCCAAGACUUGCGGACAAAGCAAGGCAGCACCUGCUGGCCCCUCUCUCGCCCACAGAGGCUGGACACUCGGCUGCAAACCCAGGAGAUCCAGCCCCAGCUUGUGCAGACGCUGGUGGGGCUCCGGGCCGGACCCCUAGCACGAGGCUCCUUGGAUUAACUUGCAAGUCUCCAACAUAUGGCAGUGUUUACUGGCAUCACGGGGGCACACAGCAGAUGCUCAGAAAAUAAAGGCCACCAAGCGAGAGGAGGAACAAGCAGGUGAGCAGAGGAAGGAAACCCACUGUAUGUGGCUUAUUCAGUGAUGAUGGAUGAAUCUUGGUAACAACAUGAGGGAGGCGUGAAGAACUGGGAGGCCGGAACACAUACACCCUAUUGCUGCCAUGCAUAACAUAGGUAAGGAGUGAGAGUACACUGUUCUAGCACAGGGAACUCCAGGUCAUGCUCUCUGGUGAAAGGGGAAGAAGUCCCAAAGGGAGGGGACAUACGUGUAUGUAUGGCUGAUUCAUCUUGCUGUGCAAUAGAAUCCAACACAGCGUUGUAAAGCAACUAUCCUCCAAUAAAAAAUUAAUUUAAGAAGGAAAUAAUGAUAACGUGACACUAACAUUUUCAGUCCCUUCCUUCACUGAAUGUUAUUCCAUGUAGG
ensembl:lncRNA